UACGGAGGGGGCGAGCGUUAUUCGGAAUUAUUGGGCGUAAAGGGCGCGCAGGCGGCGAGGCAAGUCAAAGGUGAAAUCCCUCGGCUCAACCGAGGAACCGCCUUUGAAACUACCUCGCUCGAGGCCGGGAGGGGGUAGCGGAAUUCCCAGUGUAGCGGUGAAAUGCGUAGAUACUGGGAGGAACACCGGUGGCGAAGGCGGCGACCUGGACCGGUUCUGACGCUGAUGCGCGAAAGCGUGGGGAGCAAACAGG
rnacentral:rRNA from 1 species